rnacentral:rRNA from 1 species
GAUUCUGGCUCAGGACGAACGCUGGCGGCGUGCCUAACACAUGCAAGUCGAACGGAACUAUUUUGAAGGAUCUCUUCGGAGUGACGGAUUUUAGUUUAGUGGCGGACGGGUGAGUAACGCGUGAGUAACCUGCCUCUGAGAGGGGAAUAACGUUCUGAAAAGAACGCUAAUACCGCAUAACAUAUAUUUGCCGCAUGACAGAUAUAUCAAAGAUUUUAUCGCUCGGAGAUGGACUCGCGUCCGAUUAGUUAGUUGGUGAGGUAACGGCUCACCAAGACCGCGAUCGGUAGCCGGACUGAGAGGUUGAUCGGCCACAUUGGGACUGAGACACGGCCCAGACUCCUACGGGAGGCAGCAGUGGGGGAUAUUGCGCAAUGGGGGCAACCCUGAACCGCAGCAACGCCGCGUGAAGGACGAAGGUCUUCGGAUUGUAAACUUCUUUUGUCAGGGACGAAAUCUGACGGUACCUGACGAAUAAGCUCCGGCUAACUACGUGCCAGCCGCAGC